CCCGUUGGGCAAAACACAAAACUCGCAAGACCCGCAACUACUACAUCUGAACCCCGGCUACUGCUAUCACACAAGGCGCCGUCACAACCUCGCUCUCCUCCGCUCGCUCUGGCCUUGGCGCAGAUGGUGGGAACGCUGAUUCCGGCCAUGGAAGGCGGCUGAAACCUUGCCCUCGACUCACGCUCAUCCAUGGUGGAGCAAGAGGUGGCAGGAGAGGACAGGGACCAUGAAGCCUGCAAGUCCAAGAUCCAAGCGUCGACUUUUGUGGGAUUGGGGCGCCAGAUCUCGGCUUCUGCCUCUAAAUAUGGGCAACGGCGGCGGCCGGGGAGGGGGCAAUCGGUGGCUUUUCGGCGGCAGCGGAGUCGUCCAGCAUAGUAAGGAUAAGGAAGAACUCGAGGCUUACCGCGAAUCCACGAACUGAUCCUCCAUGGCGGGCGCCCGAUCUGUGCCAACACCCCGCUCUGGAUUAGAAGAUUUAGUAUGGUUUUGCGGAAGGACAGAUGAGGUGAGCACGAGAGUUGACGAGGACGAAUGACAGAUUCUGAAGAAAAAGCUCACCUUUGCACUAGUGAUAUAUAAUAUUGUUUGUUUAUAUAUACAUGUAUGUGCAUCAUUUUUGUUAUGAGCGAGAUAAGUUUGCACUAGUGAUGACAGCAUGCAGUUGCUAGCAAGAUCUAGCAGGUGCAGAGUCAAGUACUAGCAUUAGCAGUAGAACCAGCAGCAUAGUAAAGGCAUUAUUUGUCAAUCUUCUGACGUACUGAAAUGCCGCAUGAAACUCUUGAAUAUGUAUUAAGACUCUUGAAUAUAACAUUUAUCGCCUCCUUAUUAUGGUUGAAUGGUUCA